GUGCUCGCUUCGGCAGCACAUUGGAACGAUACAGAGAAGAUUAGCAUGGCCCCUGCGCGAGGACGACACGCAAAUUCGUGAAGCGUUCCAUAUUUAA
rnacentral:snRNA from 1 species